UACGUAGGGACCGAGCGUUGUCCGGAUUCAUUGGGCGUAAAGAGCUCGUAGGCGGCUGCUCAAGUCGAAUGUGAAAACUCGAGGCUCAACCUCGAGCCUGCAUUCGAUACUGGGCGGCUAGAGUCUGGUAGGGGGAUCUGGAAUUCCUGGUGUAGCGGUGAAAUGCGUAGAUAUCAUUUGGAACGCCAAUGGUGAAAACAGGUAGCUGGGAGUGUGCUGACACUGAGACACGAAAGCCAGGGGAGCGAACGGG
rnacentral:rRNA from 1 species